rnacentral:pre_miRNA from 1 species
AAAGUACUCCCUCCGUCCCAAAAUUCUUGUCUUAGAUUUGUCUAGAUAUAGAUGUAUCAAGUCACAUUUUAGUAUUAGAUACAUCCGUAUCUAGACAAAUCUAAGACAUGAAUUUUGGGACAGAGGGAGUAGUUG